UACGGAGGGUGCAAGCGUUGUCCGGAUUUAUUGGGUUUAAAGGGUGCGUAGGCGGUCAAUUAAGUCAGUGGUGAAAUCCUGCAGCUCAACUGUAGAACCGCCAUUGAUACUGAUUGACUUGAGUACAGACGAGGUAGGCGGAAUUUAUGGUGUAGCGGUGAAAUGCAUAGAUACCAUAAAGAACACCUAUUGCGAAGGCAGCUUACUAGGCUGUAACUGACGCUGAGGCACGAAAGCGUGGGGAUCAAACAGG
rnacentral:rRNA from 1 species